GGCCUGAUUUCUACACUGCUGUUCUCAAGUGAACUACCUGAGGCUGUGAUGUAUAAAGCCAAUUCCACUGAGCAGACAGUACUACACUGAAUAUAAAUUAUCCUUUAACUACAGCAAGGCUUACACUCAAAGAAGUGCUGCAAGGAUGAACAAUGCAGCCAUGAAGCAAUAAAGAGUCCUUCUGCAGAAAAAUUGCAGACCCAGAUCUGCAUGGAUAACCAUGUUUUCAGAAGAUAAAUUUUGUCUCAGCUGUUACUUGAUAAAAAUUAGAGUCAAAUUUGGAACAUUUGUACUUACAGGAGUAUAAAUAAUGAACACCGCUUACUUUUUCCAUUAAAAAGUGAGGCAGGAAUACUUGCCUUAUUUUCCAGACUAAGCAUCAUUCCCCUCAGCAGCAUAACAGUUGUUUUGGAAGGUGGAUAUCAACAGUCUCAACUGAACAUGGC
rnacentral:lncRNA from 1 species